rnacentral:rRNA from 1 species
GUGGGGAAUAUUGGACAAUGGGCGAAAGCCUGAUCCAGCCAUGCCGCGUGUGUGAAGAAGGUCUUCGGAUUGUCAAGCACUUUAAGUGAGGAGGAGGCUACCGAGAUUAAUACUCUUGGAUAGUGGACGUUACUCGCAGAAUAAGCACCGGCUAACUCUGUGCCAGCAGCCGCGGUAAUACAGAGGGUGCAAGCGUUAAUCGGAUUUACUGGGCUUAAAGCGCGCGUAGGUGGCCAAUUAAGUCAAAUGUGAAAUCCCCGAGCUUAACUUGGGAAUUGCAUUCGAUACUGGUUGGCUAGAGUAUGGGGGAGGAUGGUAGAAUUCCAGGUGUAGCGGUGAAAUGCGUAGAGAUCUGGAGGAAUACCGAUGGCGAAGGCAGCCAUCUGGCCUAAUACUGACACUGAGGUGCGAAAGCAUGGGGAGCAAACAGGAUUAGAUACCCUGGUAGUCC